GAUGAACGCUAGCUACAGGCUUAACACAUGCAAGUCGCGGGGCAGCAUGGGGGUUGCUUGCAAUCCCCGAUGGCGACCGGCGCACGGGUGAGUAACGCGUAUUCAACCUGCCCUUCACCACGGGAUAACCCGGCGAAAGUCGGACUAAUACCGUAUGUUGUCCAUUGACGGCAUCCGAUUUGAACGAAAGGCUUGGCGGUGAGGGAUGGGGAUGCGUCCGAUUAGCCAGACGGCGGGGUAACGGCCCACCGUGGCUACGAUCGGUAGGGGUUCUGAGAGGAAGGUCCCCCACACUGGAACUGAGACACGGUCCAGACUCCUACGGGAGGCAGCAGUGAGGAAUAUUGGUCAAUGGGCGUAAGCCUGAACCAGCCAAGUAGCGUGCAGGAUGACGGCCCUAUGGGUUGUAAACUGCUUUUAUGCGGGGAUAAAGUGGCCCACGUGUGGGCUUUUGCAGGUACCGCAUGAAUAAGGACCGGCUAAUUCCGUG
rnacentral:rRNA from 1 species